rnacentral:rRNA from 1 species
GCCACUAAGCGAAAGGCUUUAUUAAACCGUACUGAAAACCGACACAGGUGGUCAGGUAGAGAAUACUCAGGCGCUUGAGAGAACUCGGGUGAAGGAACUAGGCAAAAUAGCACCGUAACUUCGGGAGAAGGUGCGCUUACAGUAAUUGUAGUCCCUUGCGGAUGAAGGUGAAGUAAGUCGAAGAUACCAGCUGGCUGCAACUGUUUAUUAAAAACACAGCACUCUGCAAACACGAAAGUGGACGUAUAGGGUGUGAUGCCUGCCCGGUGCUGGAAGGUUAAUUGAUGGUGUUAUCGAAAGAGAAGCUCCUGAUCGAAGCCCCAGUAAACGGCGGCCGUAACUAUAACGGUCCUAAGGUAGCGAAAUUCCUUGUCGGGUAAGUUCCGACCUGCACGAAUGGCAUAAUGAUGGCCAGGCUGUCUCCACCCGAGACUCAGUGAAAUUGAAAUCGCCGUGAAGAUGCGGUGUACCCGCGGCUAGACGGAAAGACCCCGUGAACCUUUACUAUAGCUUGACACUGAACAUUGAAUUUUGAUGUGUAGGAUAGGUGGGAGCCUUUGAAGCAGUGACGCCAGUCAUUGUGGAGGCGACCUUGAAAUACCACCCUUUAACGUUUGAUGUUCUAACGAAGUGCCUGAAACGGGUACUCGGACAGUGUCUGGUGGGUAGUUUGACUGGGGCGGUCUCCUCCCAAAGCGUAACGGAGGAGCACGAAGGUUUGCUAAUGACGGUCGGACAUCGUCAGGUUAGUGCAAUGGUAUAAGCAAGCUUAACUGCGAGACGGACAAGUCGAGCAGGUGCGAAAGCAGGUCAUAGUGAUCCGGUGGUUCUGAAUGGAAGGGCCAUCGCUCAACGGAUAAAAGGUACUCCGGGGAUAACAGGCUGAUACCGCCCAAGAGUUCAUAUCGACGGCGGUGUUUGGCACCUCGAUGUCGGCUCAUCACAUCCUGGGGCUGAAGUAGGUCCCAAGGGUAUGGCUGUUCGCCAUUUAAAGUGGUACGCGAGCUGGGUUUAGAACGUCGUGAGACAGUUCGGUCCCUAUCUGCCGUGGGCGUUGGAUGAUUGAUUGGGGCUGCUCCUAGUACGAGAGGACCGGAGUGGACGCAUCACUGGUGUUCCAGUUGUCUCGCCAGAGGCAUUGCUGGGUAGCUAAAUGCGGAAGAGAUAAGUGCUGAAAGCAUCUAAGCACGAAACUUGCCAAGAGAUGAGUCAUCCCUGACUUUAAGUCAGUAAGGGUUGUUGUAGACUACGACGUAGAUAGGUUGGGUGUGUAAGUGUAGUGAUACAUUGAGCUAACCAAUACUAAUUGCCCGAGAGGCUUAACCAU